UCCGGAAAAUCAAGGCUGAGGCGUGAUGACGAGGCACUGCGGUGCUGAAGCAACAAAUGCCCUGCUUCCAGGAAAAGCCUCUAAGCAUCAGGUAACAUCAAAUCGUACCCCAAACCGACACAGGUGGUCAGGUAGAGAAUACCAAGGCGCUUGAGAGAACUCGGGUGAAGGAACUAGGCAAAAUGGUGCCGUAACUUCGGGAGAAGGCACGCUGAUAUGUAGGUGAAGUCCCUCGCGGAUGGAGCUGAAAUCAGUCGAAGAUACCAGCUGGCUGCAACUGUUUAUUAAAAACACAGCACUGUGCAAACACGAAAGUGGACGUAUACGGUGUGACGCCUGCCCGGUGCCGGAAGGUUAAUUGAUGGGGUCAGCGCAAGCGAAGCUCUUGAUCGAAGCCCCGGUAAACGGCGGCCGUAACUAUAACGGUCCUAAGGUAGCGAAAUUCCUUGUCGGGUAAGUUCCGACCUGCACGAAUGGCGUAAUGAUGGCCAGGCUGUCUCCACCCGAGACUCAGUGAAAUUGAACUCGCUGUGAAGAUGCAGUGUACCCGCGGCAAGACGGAAAGACCCCGUGAACCUUUACUAUAGCUUGACACUGAACAUUGAGCCUUGAUGUGUAGGAUAGGUGGGAGGCUUUGAAGUGUGGACGCCAGUCUGCAUGGAGCCGACCUUGAAAUACCACCCUUUAAUGUUUGAUGUUCUAACGUUGACCCGUAAUCCGGGUUGCGGACAGUGUCUGGUGGGUAGUUUGACUGGGGCGGUCUCCUCCUAAAGAGUAACGGAGGAGCACGAAGGUUGGCUAAUCCUGGUCGGACAUCAGGAGGUUAGUGCAAUGGCAUAAGCCAGCUUGACUGCGAGCGUGACGGCGCGAGCAGGUGCGAAAGCAGGUCAUAGUGAUCCGGUGGUUCUGAAUGGAAGGGCCAUCGCUCAACGGAUAAAAGGUACUCCGGGGAUAACAGGCUGAUACCGCCCAAGAGUUCAUAUCGACGGCGGUGUUUGGCACCUCGAUGUCGGCUCAUCACAUCCUGGGGCUGAAGUAGGUCCCAAGGGUAUGGCUGUUCGCCAUUUAAAGUGGUACGCGAGCUGGGUUUAGAACGUCGUGAGACAGUUCGGUCCCUAUCUGCCGUGGGCGCUGGAGAACUGAGGGGGGCUGCUCCUAGUACGAGAGGACCGGAGUGGACGCAUCACUGGUGUUCGGGUUGUCAUGCCAAUGGCACUGCCCGGUAGCUAAAUGCGGAAGAGAUAAGUGCUGAAAGCAUCUAAGCACGAAACUUGCCCCGAGAUGAGUUCUCCCUGACUCCUUGAG
rnacentral:rRNA from 1 species